rnacentral:lncRNA from 1 species
CGCAUGCGUGUUGAUGCACCGGUAACGCCGAUGGCGGGUUUCAGAUUCGGUGAAGCUUCCUGUUAGUAACCAAAAGAGUUGUUACAGACUGGCUUCUUCUACGGAAAGGUACUCAAGAAAUAGUAUCAAUGGCGAUGUAGAUCAAAUAUGAGAGAAAGACAAUUCACUUUCUACAUAGUUACUAAACGAAUUACUUUAAGAAACUAUGUGUAUCUCUAAGCGCCACAAUUUGUGAGAGGUAAAUAUUAUAAUUUAAUUUACCUUUUGCUUACCGGUUGCAUCAGAGGAUAAAAAAACUUUAUUAUAGAAAAGACACACAGUGUAUAGGUAUAAUAAAACAAUUAGCUAUAGAUUGAAUUAUUAAAUUUUUGAACAUCACGCAAUGCAAUUUUCCUUUAUUUUAUCGUUUUUAGUAGCACAAAAUUCAAAAUUUCAAUCUUUGCUCGAUCACUCAU